rnacentral:rRNA from 1 species
GAUGAACGCUGGCGGCGUGCCUAAUACAUGCAAGUCGGGCGAAUGGAUUAAGAGCUUGCUCUUAUGAAGUUAGCGGCGGAUGGGUGAGUAACACAUGGGUAACCUGCCCAUAAGACUGGGAUAACUCCGGGAAACCGGGGCUAAUACCGGAUAACAUUUUGAACCGCAUAGUUCGAAAUUGAAAGGCGGCUUCGGCCGUCACUUAUGGAUGGACCCGCGUCGCAUUAGCUAGUUGGUGAGGUAACGGCUCACCAAGGCAACGAUGCGUAGCCGACCUGGGAGGGUGAUCGGCCACACUGGGACUGAGACACGGCCCAGACUCCUACGGGAGGCAGCAGUAGGGAAUCUUCCGCAAUGGACGAAAGUCUGACGGAGCAACGCCGCGUGAGUGAUGAAGGCUUUCGGGUCGUAAAACUCUGUUGUUAGGGAAGAACAAGUGCUAGUUGAAUAAGCUGGCACCUUGACGGUACCUAACCAGAAAGCCACGGCUAACUACGUGCCAGCAGCCGCAGUAA